GCGGAUGUAGCUCAGUUGGUAGAGCGCAACCUUGCCAAGGUUGAGGUCGCGGGUUCGAGCCCCGUCAUCCGCU
rnacentral:tRNA from 5 species